rnacentral:rRNA from 1 species
CGAACGCUGGCGGCAGGCCUAACACAUGCAAGUCGAGCGCACCUUCGGGUGAGCGGCGGACGGGUUAGUAACGCGUGGGAACAUACCCUUCUCUACGGAAUAGCCAUUGGAAACGAUGAGUAAUACCGUAUACGCCCUUUGGGGGAAAGAUUUAUCGGAGAUGGAUUGGCCCGCGUUAGAUUAGAUAGUUGGUGGGGUAAUGGCCUACCAAGUCUACGAUCUAUAGCUGGUUUUAGAGGAUGAUCAGCAACACUGGGACUGAGACACGGCCCAGACUCCUACGGGAGGCAGCAGUGGGGAAUCUUAGACAAUGGGCGCAAGCCUGAUCUAGCCAUGCCGCGUGAGUGAUGAAGGCCUUAGGGUCGUAAAGCUCUUUCGCCAGGGAUGAUAAUGACAGUACCUGGUAAAGAAACCCCGGCUAACUCC